UGGGGAAUAUUGCACAAUGGGCGCAAGCCUGAUGCAGCGACGCCGCGUGAGGGAUGAAGGCCUUCGGGUUGUAAACCUCUUUCGUCAGGGAACAAGGCACUGCUUUUUGGUGGUGUUGAGGGUACCUGGAUGAGAAGCGCCGGCUAACUACGUGCCAGCAGCCGCGGUAAUACGUAGGGCGCAAGCGUUGUCCGGAAUUAUUGGGCGUAAAGAGCUCGUAGGCGGCUGGUCGCGUCUGUCGUGAAAACUUCCGGCUCAACCGGGGGCUUGCGGUGGGUACGGGCCGGCUAGAGUGCGGUAGGGGUAACUGGAACUCCUGGUGUAGCGGUGGAAUGCGCAGAUAUCAGGAAGAACACCGAUGGCGAAGGCAGGUUACUGGGCCGUUACUGACGCUGAGGAGCGAAAGCGUGGGGAGCGAACAGGAUUAGAUACCCUGGUAGUCCACGCUGUAAACGUUGGGCACUAGGUGUGAGGCUCCUUUCCGGGGGUUUUGCGCCGUAGCUAACGCAUUAAGUGCCCCGCCUGGGGAGUACGGCCGCAAGGCUA
rnacentral:rRNA from 1 species